GAUCAACGCUGGCGGCGUGCAUGAGACAUGCAAGUCGAACGGACACUCACGGGCUUGCCUGUGAGUGUUAGUGGCGGACGGCUGAGUAACGCGUAGGUGACCUGCCCCGAAGUGGGGAAUAACUGCCCGAAAGGGUGGCUAAUACCGCAUGUGGUGAUGCGUUCAGACGCAUCAGUAAAGCCGCAAGGCGCUUCGGGAGGGGCCUGCGUCCGAUUAGCUCGUUGGUGAGGUAACGGCUCACCAAGGCGACGAUCGGUAGGUGGUCUGAGAGGACGAUCACCCAGACUGGGACUGAGACACGGCCCAGACUCCUACGGGAGGCAGCAGUCGGGAAUUUUGCGCAAUGGACGAAAGUCUGACGCAGCAACGCCGCGUGA
rnacentral:rRNA from 1 species